rnacentral:rRNA from 1 species
GGUGAACGCUGGCGGCGUGCCUAACACAUGCAAGUCGAGCGGUGCAGUUUGAAGCUUCGGUGGAAAGCUGCAUAGCGGCGGACGGGUGAGGAAAACGUAGGAACGUGCCCCUUGGAGUUGGAUAGCCACGGGAAACUGUGGGUAAACCGACAUAGACUCGAGAGAGUAAAGGCCGAAAGGCGCCAAGGGAGCGGCCUGCGGCCCAUCAGGUAGUUGGUAGUGUAAAGGACUACCAAGCCGACGAUCUGUAGCUGGUCUGAGAGGACGACCAGCCACACUGGGACUGAGACACGGCCCAGACUCCUACGGGAGGCAGCAGUGGGGAAUUUUGGACAAUGGGCGCAAGCCUGAUCCAGCCAUGCCGCGUGCAGGAUGAAGGCCUUCGGGUUGUAAACUGCUUUUGUACGGAACGAAAAGACUCUUUCUAAUAAAGAGGGUCCAUGACGGUACCGUAAGAAUAAGCACCGGCUAACUACGUG